rnacentral:rRNA from 1 species
UACGGGGGGGGCAAGCGUUGUUCGGAAUUACUGGGCGUAAAGGGCGCGUAGGCGGCUUGUACAGUCAGACGUGAAAUUCCUGGGCUCAACCUGGGGGCUGCGUUUGAUACGUGCGGGCUUGAGUUCGGAAGAGGGUCGUGGAAUUCCCAGUGUAGAGGUGAAAUUCGUAGAUAUUCGGAAGAACACCAGUGGCGAAGGCGACUUACUGGACACAUAUUGACGCUGAGGUGCGAAAGCGUGGGGAGCAAACAGG